rnacentral:rRNA from 1 species
UUAAGUGGCGGACGGGUGAGUAACGCGUGGGUAACCUGCCUUGUACUGGGGGACAACAGUUGGAAACGACUGCUAAUACCGCAUAAGCGCACAGCUUCGCAUGAAGCAGUGUGAAAAACUCCGGUGGUACAAGAUGGACCCGCGUCUGAUUAGCUGGUUGGUGAGGUAACGGCCCACCAAGGCACGAUCAGUAGCCGGCCUGAGAGGGUGAACGGCCACAUUGGGACUGAGACACGGCCCAAACUCCUACGGGAGGCAGCAUG